UUGAACGCUGGCGGCAUGCUUUACACAUGCAAGUCGAACGGUAACAGGCCUUCGGGUGCUGACGAGUGGCGAACGGGUGAGUAAUACAUCGGAACGUACCCAGUCGUGGGGGAUAACCUACCGAAAGGUAGGCUAAUACCGCAUACGACCUGAGGGUGAAAGCGGGGGAUCGCAAGACCUCGCGCGAUUGGAGCGGCCGAUGUCGGAUUAGCUAGUUGGUGGGGUAAAGGCCCACCAAGGCGACGAUCCGUAGCUGGUCUGAGAGGAUGAUCAGCCACACUGGGACUGAGACACGGCCCAGACUCCUACGGGAGGCAGCAGUGGGGAAUUUUGGACAAUGGGGGAAACCCUGAUCCAGCCAUUCCGCGUGAGUGAAGAAGGCCUUCGGGUUGUAAAGCUCUUUCGGCAGGGAAGAAACGGCAGGCUCUAACAUAGCCUGCUAAUGACGGUACCUGAAGAAGAAGCACCGGCUAACUACGU
rnacentral:rRNA from 1 species